AUUGAACGCUGGCGGCAGGCCUAACACAUGCAAGUCGAACGAGUGGCGGACGGGUGAGUAAUGUCUGGGAAACUGCCUGAUGGAGGGGGAUAACUACUGGAAACGGUAGCUAAUACCGCAUACCAUCGGAUGUGCCCAGAUGGGAUUGGCUGGUGGGUGUGGUAAAGGCUCACCUGGGCGACGAUCCCUAGCUGGUCUGAGAGGAUGCCCAGCAACACGGGAACGGAGACACGGUCAAGACUCCUACGGGAGGCAGCAGUGGGGAAUAUUGCACAAUGGGCGCAAGCCUGAUGCAGCCAUGCCGCGUGUAUGAAGAAGGCCUUCGGGUUGUAAAGUCCUUUCAGCGGGGAGGCGUUACCCGCAGAAGAAGCACCGGCUAACUCCGUGCCAGCCGCCGCGGUAAUAC
rnacentral:rRNA from 1 species